CCUACGGGAGGCAGCAGUAGGGAAUUUUCCACAAUGAGCGAAAGCCUGACGCAGCAACGCCGCGUGCACGAGACACCCUUCCGGAUGUAAAGUUCUGUCAGUAAGGACGAAAGAUGACGAUACCCACAGAGGAAGCACCGGCCAGCUCCGUGCCAGCAGCCGCGGUAAUACGGAGGGUGCAAGCGGUGUCCGGAAUCAAUGGGGGUAAAGAGUUCGUAGGCGGUAUGGUAAGUCUGGUGUUAAGUGCAGAAGCUCAAAUUCUGUUCGGCACUGGAUACUGGCAAACUAGAAUGAGGUAGAGGUAAAGGGAAUUCCGGGUGUAGCGGUGAAAUGCGUAGAUAUAAGGAGGAACAUCGGUGGCGUAAGCGCUUUACUGGGUCGUAAUUGACGCUGAGGAACGAAAGCCAGGGUAGCAAAUGGGAUUAGAUACCCGGGUAGUC
rnacentral:rRNA from 1 species